rnacentral:rRNA from 1 species
UACGGAGGGGGCUAGCGUUAUUCGGAAUUAUUGGGCGUAAAGAGCGUGUAGGCGGCCAGGUAGGUCUGCUGUGAAAACUCGAGGCUCAACCUCGAGACGUCGGCGGAAACCAUCUGGCUAGAGUCCGGAAGAGGAGAGUGGAAUUCCUGGUGUAGCGGUGAAAUGCGCAGAUAUCAGGAAGAACACCCGUGGCGAAGGCGGCUCUCUGGGACGGUACUGACGCUGAGACGCGAAAGCGUGGGGAGCGAACAGG